UACGGAGGGAGCUAGCGUUAUUCGGAAUUACUGGGCGUAAAGCGCACGUAGGCGGCUUUGUAAGUUAGAGGUGAAAGCCCGGAGCUCAACUCCGGAACUGCCUUUAAGACUGCAUCGCUUGAAUCCAGGAGAGGUGAGUGGAAUUCCGAGUGUAGAGGUGAAAUUCGUAGAUAUUCGGAAGAACACCAGUGGCGAAGGCGGCCUUACUGGACUGGUAUUGACGCUGAGGUGCGAAAGCGUGGGGAGCAAACAGG
rnacentral:rRNA from 1 species